CAGAGCUGGCGGGCGAGGAGCUCCCGCCUCUCAGAGAGCAGCUGUGAUUUCUGCCGCCUCUCGCGAAGCCGUGAGCUGCAGCGUCUCAUGACCGGCUGCUCAUCGCACACCAUCAUCGUCGCACGGCGCGGGGACUGACUGAUCCGGCCCGUCCGCAGCCCUGACAGCCGUCAUGUCCUGGUUGUUCCUGGACUGGUUCGUGCCCCUCUACCUGCUGGUGUCGGUUUUGGUGCUGGCGGGAUUCGGAGCGUGUCUUUACUUCCUCGAGCCUGGGCUGCAGGACGCCCACAAAUGGAGCAGCAAAACAAUCCGGCAUCGUCCGCUGGUGGCCAGCGUGGACUGCAGAGAUGAUAGAAAUGUCCUGAUAUGAUCCAGAGGGAAGUAGCGCCCCUCCAUCCGGACAGGGGUGCAGGCAGCUCUCACACUAACGAGACCAGAGGGGGACCGAGGGGGGCCAACAUUUUCCACAAGUCAUCAUCUGAUAAUAAUCAUUCCAACUUUUCUUUGCUCUCUGUGGACUUUCACUGCCGGGAUCAGAGAAACAGAAUCCUUAGAGCAUUUUGAUUGGAGGACAUGUUGCCUUUCAGUGUUUCUACAUUUCAUGCCAUCUUAUUCCCGUGCCAACUUUUACAUACGUUUUGUAACGCGACAAUCGCCUCACAUCCCAACUUCUGUCGUGCAUUUAUUUAUAGUAAAGUGAAUGACGUACGUGCAGCGACUCUGCUGCCGCUGAGGAGAGGCUUUAAUCCUCUCCCUGAUGUCGGCACGGCAGCUGUUGAAACGCACGAGGAUCGUUAGCGGAGACGCGCCAAACCGGAGCGACACCAUUAAAAUAACGUGCUCCGCAUAAAAGCAAGCAAUCAGUUCCAGCUGUCAAGAGAAUCUGAGAUGGACCAAGAAAAAAAAAGCUGUUUAUGAGAAAACUUUGCGUGUAAUAACCGUCUUUUGCUGACUUUAUGCUUCCUUUGUAAACACAAAAAUAAAAGCUUUCAAUCUGUUUGAAUGCAAA